GAUGGCAAAAGGGAAGGAUUUAGUGGAUUAUUGAAUGGGCUUUCAGAACACAAAGUGCUAAAACAAGACGAAUUUGCUAAAUGAUUCAAGUCCAUUGUAAAACACAAUACCUUUAUUAUAAUUAUUAAACACUAUUGAUAUCACAUUGCACUAUUUGUGGUAUACAUAUCCCAAAUAUGUAUAUUAUUUUCGACCACCACUUCUUCAACAUAAUCAAAGAACCACUUCCACCAAAAAAUAUUCAAAUCAAAUAUACGACGACGACGACAAAUAUUUGAUUUUUAGCUUCACGUUUAGCAGCCCUGUGCCUUUGAGUACACUUUUAAGACUUCAGUUUUAGACCAUGGGAAAAAUGAAGGACGGUUAACUGGUCCUGAAAAUAAUAACACUAUUUUAAUGAAAAGCUUUUAUUUAACUUGCAAUGCAUUUAUGUAUACAUGUAUGUUUGUUCGGGUGGAAUCUUGCUACUUACUCAAUUUUGAAGCAGAUAACUUCAACCGAUUGUACUGAAAUUUUGUAUACGCGUUUAGUUUGGAUGACAAUACACGAUAAGCUGUGUGACUUCAUUCUAAAUCUAAUAUGGCGGACCAUACAAGUUGUGGAAUAGUUAUUUAUAAUGCAUUUCUACAAUAUGGGUAUCAAAUGAAAGGGCUGAGAAUAAAAAGGUAAAAAAAAGAUGCUCUUUGCCGCUGGUCAAGCAUACGUGGCCUUAAGUAUGGUAAAAUCAUUAGAAGGUCUAGUAGACUGUAGUAUAGAAGAGCUAGUAGACUGUUCGAAAUUAACCGGCAAACGACCUUGCAACAAUGAUGCGUUGAGUGAUAUGAACAGACUCAGAAACCUAGCCAGCGAUAACUAAAAAUUAAAAAAUAAAUUAAAAGAAAAAUCUUUUUUCGAUUUAUGGUUUACAUAACGUAUAGUGGCAUUGCCAUGCACAUACCUUCACGCACAUUUGUAUCAAGAUUUUUAAAAAAAUAUAUAUAAAAUCGUUGUUUACCCCCACUUUCUACCCUCACCUACCGUGUGCCGCGCCCGUUCUUGGCUCAUUGAGUUUAACAUGUGGCAACUUUCAGAUUUAUUUCACACUUCAGGGUCGGGAAAUUGUAGCAGUAAAAUGAAUGAAAAUCAUGAGUUUUAAAGCAUGGGAGGGUGACUGACCAUAAAUCGCUUCGAAUGAAUCUGUUCACACAAUUAUCAUCGAACUUCACUUGGUAAGUUCGUUUGAUUUGUAAUUGUGUUUCACAGAUUCAUUCUCGCGAUUUAUGGUUUAUAUAACGUAUAGAUGUUCAGAGAUUUUGUUAAAUAAAUUGGAGAGUAUGGGAUAAGUUUAAAUAUUAACAAUCAGAUUAUCUCUUAAUGAAGUAUUAAGGAUAGACCUGGCAAAAUCAAUAUCUAUAAUUUCUUUAUUAUAAAACCUCGCAAAUACUUUAGAUGAAUCAGUCCAGCCAGCAGUUUUACGAAUAACAUCAAUACUGACUCCAUACCUAUUAGGAGUAGAUGUAGCAUGGCGAGUACCGUGUCCUGUGAAAAUUGACGUGUUUAUACCAUUAUCUUUCAGUGUAUUUUUUAUCCAGUGGCUUAAUCUUUGUGUAGACAAUUUUGAAAAUGGUUUCUUAUAACUAAUAAAUAAAAAUUGAUUGCCUACGUGACGUAA